rnacentral:rRNA from 1 species
AUUGAACGCUGGCGGCAGGCCUAACACAUGCAAGUCGAACGAGUGGCGGACGGGUGAGUAAUGUCUGGGAAACUGCCUGAUGGAGGGGGAUAACUACUGGAAACGGUAGCUAAUACCGCAUACCAUCGGAUGUGCCCAGAGGGGAUUCGCUAGUAGGUGGGGUAACGGCUCACCUAGGCGAAGACACCUAGCUGGUCUGAGAGGAUGACCAGCCAAACUGGAACUGAGACACGGUCCAGACUCCGACGGGAGGCAUGAGUGGGGAAUAUUGCACAAUGGGCGCAAGCCUGAUGCAGCCAUGCCGCGGGUAUGAAGAAGGCCUUCGGGUUGUAAAGUACUUUCAGCGGGUAGGCGUUACCCGCAGAAGAAGCACCGGCUAACUCCGUGCCAGCAGCCGCGGUAAUUC